rnacentral:rRNA from 1 species
GGCUGGGGGGGCCUAAUCAUGCUACGUCGAACGCUUUGUCUUAUAACUGAUCUGAACGAGCUUGCUCUGAUUUGAUUUCAUUUGACAAAGAGUGGCGAACGGGUGAGUAACACGUGGGUAACCUACCUCUUAGCAGGGGAUAACAUUUGGAAACAAGUGCUAAUACCGUAUAAUACCAACAACCGCAUGGUUGUUGGUUGAAAGAUGGUUCUGCUAUCACUAAGAGAUGGACCCGCGGUGCAUUAGCUAGUUGGUAAGGUAACGGCUUACCAAGGCAAUGAUGCAUAGCCGAGUUGAGAGACUGAUCGGCCACAAUGGGACUGAGACACGGCCCAUACUCCUACGGGAGGCAGCAGUAGGGAAUCUUCCACAAUGGGCGCAAGCCUGAUGGAGCAACGCCGCGUGUGUGAUGAAGGGUUUCGGCUCGUAAAACACUGUUAUAAGAGAAGAACGGCACUGAGAGUAACUGUUCAGUGUGUGACGGUAUCUUACCAGAAAGGAACGGCUAAAUACGUGCCAGCAGCCGCGGUAAUACGUAUGUUCCAAGCGUUAUCCGGAUUUAUUGGGCGUAAAGCGAGCGCAGACGGUUAUCUAAGUCUGAAGUGUAAGCCCUCAGCUCAACUGAGGAAUGGCUUUGGAAACUGGAUGACUUGAGUGCUGUAGAGGAAAGUGGAACUCCA